rnacentral:rRNA from 1 species
GUGGGGAAUAUUGGACAAUGGGGGCAACCCUGAUCCAGCCAUGCCGCGUGUGUGAAGAAGGUCUUCGGAUUGUAAAGCACUUUAAGUUGGGAGGAAGGGCAGUAAGUUAAUACCUUGCUGUUUUGACGUUACCGACAGAAUAAGCACCGGCUAACUUCGUGCCAGCAGCCGCGGUAAUACGAAGGGUGCAAGCGUUAAUCGGAAUUACUGGGCGUAAAGCGCGCGUAGGUGGUUUUGUAAGUUGGAGGUGAAAUCCGCGGGCUCAACCUGGGAACUGCCUCCAAAACUGCAUGACUAGAGUACGGUAGAGGGUAGUGGAAUUUCCUGUGUAGCGGUGAAAUGCGUAGAUAUAGGAAGGAACACCAGUGGCGAAGGCGACUACCUGGACUGAUACUGACACUGAGGUGCGAAAGCGUGGGGAGCAAACAGGAUUAGAUACCCGAGUAGUCC